rnacentral:rRNA from 1 species
UACGUAGGGGGCAAGCGUUGUCCGGAUUUAUUGGGCGUAAAGAGCGUGUAGGCGGCUUGGUAGGUCCGCUGUGAAAACUCGAGGCUCAACCUCGAGAUGUCGGCGGAAACCACUUGGCUAGAGUCCGGAAGAGGAGAGUGGAAUUCCCGGUGUAGCGGUGAAAUGCGCAGAUAUCGGGAAGAACACCUAUGGCGAAGGCAGCUCUCUGGGACGGUAACUGGACGCUGAGACGGCGAAAGCGUGGGGAGCGAACAGG